ensembl:lncRNA
AAAGGCUUGUUUAUUCUACAUGGAGCUGUUACUACAAUUGAAAGUUAUCAAAACACUUAGUUUAGAAUAUCUACAUAAAUUCAACAAUUGCAUUCUUCUCAUAUUACUCUGUAGACUACUGACCUAGUCAAAGCUUCCUCUGGCAUCUCACCAUACAUCUGCCUGUAGUUAUUGAACUGAAUCUACAGGAGGUUUGUUUGUUGUGAAUGAGUGGGGAGGAAACAGCUGCAGGCAAGGUUCUGACAGAUGGGUGUGUCUUGGUGGUGGCAAGGACGUCAAACCACACCCCCAAGCCAACUCACGUUUGGCUUCUGUCAUAGCCACCAGUAUUUCUUCCAGCUGCUUCGUUAGUUUAUUAUCUAGCUGCAUUGUAUCCAGAUCUCCAGGGCCGGCAGUAGCCUUUUGGGGGCCCCACUACCUCACUGCAAAAUAUUUUAGUGCCCCCCCCUCCUGACGUUGGAGAGAAAAAAACAUCUGUUUUAAAGUUUAUUUCCUGCAAUUCUGUGAACUGUCUUGUGCAAGUUUGAAAUUUCCAUAAUACCUGUUAUGUACCUGGUGUCAGCUAGAGAUGACGUGCAGGAACAUGUAUUUGUAGUUUUUCACGAUCUCUACUUUGAUGCUAAUUAGUGUUUUCAAAUCUGAGAGUAAAUAGAGCCAAAUAUAUUGAUAAAAGUAAUCUUGUCCAAGAGAGAUUUACAGGUUAAUAAAAUGUCACGCCAGGGUAAGCCUACAUGAAACACAGACCUUAUUUUAAGUGUUUCUAACUAUCCCCAAUGGGAAGAAUGAAUGGUGGAAAAUAGACUGGAACCAUUUCUCUGUUUCACCGCUAGGUUGUAUGGGUAUUAUCACACCUCCAAUGUGGGGCUCUAUACACAGCAUAUACAGUUGAAGUCAUAAGUUUACAUACACUCAGGUUGGAGUCAAUAAAAAUUAUUUUUCAACCACUCCACAAAUUUCUUCUUAACAAACUAUAGUUUUGGUAAGUCGGUUAGGACAUCUACUUUGUGCAUGACAAGUAAUUUGUCCUAUUGUUUCCAAACAGAUUAUUUCACUUAUAAUUCACUGUAUCACAAUUCCAGUGGAUCAGAAGUUUACAUACACUAAGUUGACUGUGCCUUUAAACAGCUUGGAAAAUUCCAGAAAAUGAUGUCAUGGCUUUAAAAGCUUCUGAUAGGCAUCAGAGUGUGGAGUGUCCACCACAAAGCCCUGAUCUGGAGUGGAGUGCCAAUCACAAAGCCCUGACCUGGAGUGUCCAUCACAAAGCCCUGACCUGGAGUGGAGUGUCCAUCACAAAGCCCUGACCUGGAGUGGAGUGUCCAUCACAAAGCCUUGACCUGGAGUGGAGUGUCCAUCACAAAGCCCUGAUCUGGAGUGGAGUGUCCAUCACAAAGCCUUGACCUGGAGUGGAGUGUCCAUCACAAAGCCUUGACCUGGAGUGUCCAUCACAAAGCCCUGACCUGGAGUCGAGUGUCCAUCACAAAGCCCUGACCUGGAGUGGAGUGUCCAUCACAAAGCCCUGACCUGGAGUGGAGUGUCCAUCACAAAGCCCUGACCUCAAUCCUAUAGAACAUUUGUGGGCAGAGCUGAAAGUGUACAAGCAAGGAGGCCUUGCAAACUUGACUCGGUUACACCAGCUCUGUCAGGAGGAAUGGGCCAAAAUUCACCCAAUUUAUUGUGGGAAGCUUGUGGAAGGCUAACCAAAAUGUUUGACCCAAGUUAAACAAUUUAAAGGCAAUGCUACCAAAUACUAAUUGAGUGUAUGUAAACUUCUGACCCACAUUCUCUCUACUAUUAUUCUGACAUUUCAUGUUCUUAAAAUAAAGUGAUUUUUACUAGGAUUAAAUGUCAGGAAUUGUGAAAAACUAAGUUUAGAUGUAUUUGGCUAAGGUGUAUGUAAACUUAGUUUUAGUAACGUACUGAGCUGAUGGAGGAAUUUAGUAACGUACUGGAGGAUGAAAGACGACACCUGGGCUGUUUUAUGCGACAUAUUUAAAUGAUUGACAUGAAAGAGGAGAGGGACACAAAUCAGAUGAAGGCUGCUGGGAAAAACUUCAAAGCGAAAGCCAAAAAUAAUGCAGCAGAUGAGAGGCGGAAGAUAUUUCAGACCACAGUCUCUCUCUCAGGACAUAUGUGAUGAUACCCGAACAGUUAACCCUAUGAUGACAACGGACAACUAGUCCCACCAAUAUUUAGUAAGCAUAAAUAACUGGUUAACAUCAAUGACUACAAUGCAUGUCAAAACUACCCAGUGGUGUAAAGUACUUAAGUUAAAAUAUAUUAAAGUACUACUUAAGUCAGUUUUUUGGGUAUCUGUACUUUACUAUUUAUAUAUUGGACAACUUUUAUUUUUACUUCACUACAUUCCUAAAGAAAAGACUUAAACAACAUUUUACUCCAUACAUUUUCUUGAAUACUUAGCAGGACAGGAACCUGGUCCAAUUCGGGCACUUAUCGAGAGAACAUCCCCUGGUCAUCCCCACUGCAUCUGAUCUGGCAGACUCACUAAACACAAAUGUUUCAUUUGUAAAUGAUGUCUGAGUGUUGGAGUGUGACACUGGCAAACUGUCAAUGUAUGUAUGUAAUAAAACCGUGCCAUCUGGAUUUCUUAAUGUAAGGAACAUUAAAUAAUUCAUACUUUUACUUUUGAUACUUAAGAACAUUUAAAACCAAAUACUUUUGACUUUUUACUCAAGUAGUAUUUUACUGGCUGACUUUUACUGGAGUUAUUUUCUAUUAAGAUAUCAUUACUUUUACAACAGUGUGAAAUGACUUUUUCCACCACUGAAACUAACGCUAAUAGUAUUUCACUAGAAUGUUACUGUUCUCAGUCCCGUUACAGCAUGUUGCAUAACGUCAUCAUUCUACCAAGGUGUAUCACAAGCUCUAAUUCAAUUACAAAAUGGGAAGGUAAGUUCUAAUAAGGAGUUGAUUCUCUUCAGUUGAGCCGACACCCUGUUGUCGUAGAGAAACAGCAAUGCCUGGAUCUUGAACUAGCCGGGCCAAUCGAACGCCCCCAGAACCCAAGACUAAAACAGCUCAUAUUGAUGUUUUGGCGCAGGAGGGAGAGAAAAAUAUUCCGCAGACUGAGAUUCUGAGUUUACAAAAAAGAGCUACUGCGAAUUCAGAAACAGAAACGCCUUCAGGGGAACAAAUGUGGAAAGAAUGCUAAUCUUGUUAUUUAUUAAAACAAUGCUUUCCCUAGCAAUGUGGUGCCCCCACUCAUGUUCUGGUGCUUCCAGUUCCCCCCUUUAUGAUCGAGAAUAACAAAUGACUUAAUAAUGCAUUUUAAUACAGAUAGUCUUAUUAAGAAUUGCACGUCAGUCAAAAUAUAAUAUUGCUUUUUACAUGUUACACUAUACACACACAUGUUAGGCUGCAAAAAUGGUUCUCAAUCAAAGUUCUCCUCAUCGCAUUCACAUCAACAGCAUGUUGCACCUGGCCAUCUUCUCCAUUCUCCUCAUCCUCCUCAGGUAGGUCCUCCUCAGCCUCCUCAGGUAGCUUGUCUCCUUGUCUCUUGCUAAAGUUAUACAGAACUUCCACUGCAAUAGUGAUUGUCAGUGUAGUGUCCAUCUUCAUGCAGAGCACCACCUGUAGGGGAGGGAAUCUUUUCUUCCAUACUACAAAAACUCUAUGAGAUCUCUUGUCAGGAUAUGAGAGGUGGUGUGUUCUCUCUCUAUGAGAUCUCUUGUCAGGAUAUGAGAGGUGGUGCAUUCUCUCUCUAUGAGAUCUCUUGUCAGGAUAUGAGGUGGUGGAUUGUCUCUCUUCAGGUGUCUGGGGGUUUAAAAGGGGAGUCAUAAGGUUCCCAUGACAAGAAUAUCCAUUGUUACGUAGUAGGGGGCCUUCAUAUGCUCCCCGUUCCAGCAUUGCACACAGACGACUAUUGUCAAAGUAUCUGCUGUCAUGGGUGGAUCCUGGCCGUCUUGCUAGGAUGUUGGUGAGCUGACCUUUGACAUCACAGACAGCCUGCAUGUUGACGGAGCAGUAACCUUUCUGAUUACAGAAUAGUUCUCCAUUCCCACCACCAGGGUUCGGAAUAGGAAUGUGUGUCCAGUCUAUUGCCCAUAGUACACACGGGAAUCUAGCUUUCAUCUCAAAAUCCAGCUGCUGUUUCCUCUGUAGGACUGAACCUGAUGUACUCGUUCUUCAGGCCGGCAAAAGCACUGGACACUACAAUCCUGUAGACGGUUGACUUGUGGAGUCCAGAAAGGUCCACAUCCAUCCACCAUCUGGAAACAUCCAGUUACAUAGAACCGUAGAGUCAUCAGGAGCUGAAGUAGUAGGGGUACAUCCUCGUUACCGUCGUUCCCACGCUUGGUCCAACCUUUCUUUCCAGUUGCAUUACAGAUUCCUUGGAGAAGCGGCAUCUCCUUGAAAACUCAUCAUUAUAAAAAAAACUCAACAGGAUACAACCUGUCUCGUAAUGUUCUCUGAGGAACUCUGUCGUUCUGGUCUCUCCACAGUCGAUAUCCUGUCAUUUUAUCAGUUCAACCACAUCAAAUGGCAGUUCAGAAUCUCCAAUCUAAGUUUAUAUUCAAGCUUAAAAUGACUCUAGGUUUAAAGUGAAAACUAAAACUUAUGAUUAGAAGAAGGAUUCAUUUUAACUAGGAUUCAUUUAAAAAUAGAUUUAAAGUUUGGUGCAACAAGAUGAAGAUGAAACUGGGUUAAAUGAAGGCUUAAGAGUUCCUCCAUGUUGGUGCAACCCACCCUGUAUAUUGGGUUUUCCUAGAUUUAGGCAGAUCCCUGUAUUUGGCAUGACAAUGAGAGGUAGUUGCAUGACGGCACCAACAAACUGGCCCUCAGGUCAGCUGUAUUAGAGGUGAUAUCACUCAGGUCAGCUGUAUUAGAGGUGAUAUCACUCAGGUUAGCUGUAUUAGAGGUGAUAUCACUCAGGUCAGCUGUAUUAGAGGUGAUAUCACUCAGGUCAGCUGUAUUAGAGGUGAUAUCACUCAGGUCAGCUGUAUUAGAGUUGCCCAUCAAUUGCAUUAAUGCCAUCAAUACACCUCCUGUAAGCAAUUCAGGCCAUCUAUAGACCAUAACUGUAGAUUGACCAUAGGCAAGGGAGUGUCUCUCGAUCUUUGUCCAGGACAGAGUGUGUUAACCUGAAUGUCUGACAUUAAAACAUCUGGAAUGUACACACUUUAUGAUCAGUCGUGUUUGACAACGACAGACUUUGGGGUGGAAUCUGGCCAAAGCGAGAGUUUGGUAAAACAGGUCACCAAGCUUUCAGUUAAUGGAUCAACAUACUUGGCAACAGAAAGUUAAAAUUAUGAACAGGUCUAUGUCCCCAAUGGAACCCUAUUCCCUUUGUAGUGCACUACUUUAGACCAGGACCCAAUGGAAGCCUAUUCCCUUUGUAGUGCACUACUUUAGACCAGGACCAAUUUGGGACACAGGCCAGGUCUUGGCAGACUAACGACUUGGUUGGCCCCCUUUGGUCUGGCUCAACAACAGAAUACAGACAGUAACAAAUAUCUAAGUCGUGUGGUCACAAUGAAGGCCCAAAAGACCUGGGUAAAAGCUGUUCAGCCGUUUAGUCAAACCCUUCUUCCUAUUGUGAUGGUAAUGUGUUUAUAAUGAUAGUUAAGAAGUUUAGUCAGAGAGAGGGGGGAUACAGAGAGCUUCUGCAGGUAAGUCCUUCACAUCAUCAUACAUUAAAGUCUUUAAAUAGUUCAUGUGGUGUCAACACUUAACAGAAUAGAAAACAAAUAACUAACAACCAAUAAGAGUCUUGCAAUGAAUCUGCCCUCUGUUCCGACCUGUCUCCAUGGCAACACCCUGGUCAGUUAUAGUAGGUCCAAUUGUCCAUCUCCUGGCCACCCCUGGGCUGGGCUCCACACUGCAGCCCCCUCUCCUCUGGUCUCUAGCCCCAGUCCUCUCCUCCUGUCUCCAGCUCCUCUUCUGCUAGCUCCGGCCCUUCUCCUCUCCUCCUGUCUCCAGCCCCUCUCCUCUCCUCCUGUCUCCAGCCACUCUCCUCUCCUCCUGUCUCCAGCCCCUCUCCUCUCCUCCUGUCUCCAGCCCUCUCCUCUCCUCCUGUCUCCAGCCACUCUCCUCUCCUCCUGUCUCCAGCCACUCUCCUCUCCUCCUGUCUCCAGCCACUCUCCUCUCCUCCUGUCUCCAGCCCCUCUCCUCUCCUCCUGUCUCCAGCCCCUCUCCUCUCCUCCUGUCUCCAGCCCCUCUCCUCUCCUCCUGUCUCCAGCCCCUCUCCUCUC